GAUCCUGGCUCAGGAUGAACGCUAGCUACAGGCUUAACACAUGCAAGUCGAGGGGAAACGACAUCGAAAGCUUGCUUUCGAUGGGCGUCGACCGGCGCACGGGUGAGUAACGCGUAUCCAACCUGCCCACCACUUGGGGAUAACCUUGCGAAAGUAAGACUAAUACCCGAUGAUAUCUCUAGAAGACAUCUGAAAGGGAUUAAAGAUUUAUCGGUGAUGGAUGGGGAUGCGUCUGAUUAGUUUGUUGGCGGGGUAACGGCCCACCAAGGCGACGAUCAGUAGGGGUUCUGAGAGGAAGGUCCCCCACAUUGGAACUGAGACACGGUCCAAACUCCUACGGGAGGCAGCAGUGAGGAAUAUUGGUCAAUGGGCGAGAGCCUGAACCAGCCAAGUAGCGUGCAGGAUGACGGCCCUAUGGGUUGUAAACUGCUUUUAUAAGGGAAUAAAGUGAGCCUCGUGAGGCUUUUUGCAUGUACCUUAUGAAUAAGGACCGGCUAAUUCCGUG
rnacentral:rRNA from 1 species